rnacentral:rRNA from 1 species
AGUGAACGCUGGCGGCAGGCCUAACACAUGCAAGUCGAGCGGCAGCGCGGGGGCAACCCUGGCGGCGAGCGGCGGACGGGUGAGGAAUUCGUCGGAAUCUGCCUUUUUGUGGGGGAUAACGUAGGGAAACUUACGCUAAUACCGCAUACGUCCUACGGGAGAAAGUGGGGGACCGCAAGGCCUCACGCAGAAAGAUGAGCCGACGACCGAUUAGCUAGUUGGUGGGGUAAAGGCCCACCAAGGCGACGAUCGGUAGCUGGUCUGAGAGGAUGAUCAGCCACACUGGGACUGAGACACGGCCCAGACUCCUACGGGAGGCAGCAGUGGGGAAUAUUGGACAAUGGGCGCAAGCCUGAUCCAGCCAUGCCGCGUGUGUGAAGAAGGCCUUCGGGUCGUAAAGCACUUUUGUCCGGAAAGAAAUCCCUGGAGCUAAUACCUUCGGGGGAUGACGGUACCGGAAGAAUAAGCACCGGCUAACUUCGUG